GCUCCUAUGCCAGAGGGAGGCCAGACAGAGGCCAGAACUUGGAACUCUAUGGCAGUUUGCUGAGAUCAGAGCUGCUACAGUGAUAGAGGUCCGAACCCAACCUCUCUGGCUGUCUGCUAGGAUCUCAGCCUUAGCCUACCAAAGCCAAAGUAAGGAAAAUUUUGAUUAAUAACUUUAGCGCAGUAAGAAAUGCUCCUAAGGAGUGUAGUGUGAACUUUGUGUUACAAUAGUAUUAUAGGCAGAUACAGAAAAAUCUACCCUCUUACAUCCUCCUUAUCCUCAGAAAAUUACUGAGGACUUUGCACACACUAAAAUGUAAUGACUGCAGUUAAAUUCUAGCCAGUACUUGUGCUGGCCCAGUAACAAUAAGCUAGCUAUUCAAAGGGUGGAGUUCUUUCACAGUGACAUUCAUGUCUAAUCUUUCCCAUCUAUUCUACUACAUUUUGAAAUAGACUUAUUAAGUGCUGUUUUAGGUGCUAUUAAAAAAAGUAUGCCAGAGCUCACCAGUCUCAAGUUCACCAAACCAACCAGUCUUGGUGGAAGAAAAACUAACCCACAGUGGGUGUGUAUGUUAGAAUAGGGAAAUGUAAGAGAAUUGAUGGAGUCAUGAGCUUACUCAAGUGAACCAUGUGCCUUAGAAAGUGUGGAAUCAGAAGGGUCAAAUGCUAAUAAAAUAACUUAUGAUAAGCAUGUUAUAAGUAAACUACAUCAAUAUAAUUCAAAAAUAUUGAUACUGACUUUUUAAGACACAAACUCCUGUAGAUUGAGAAUAAAAAGGUGUAGGUCAUUAGUAACUCUGGUAGGUUAUUAUACUAGAAUUAUAAUCACAAAUUGCUUAAAUCACCAAUGUAAUACUGAUCAACUCCUUUGCCUAAGUUACUGCUUAUGAAACAUUAGUGUUGAAUGUCUGGCCUGGGAAAACCUCAGAUAGUAAGUGUUUAACUCCAUUAUUUCUUAAUCUCUUUAGAAUUCCAAAAUGAUAGUUUGAAAUUUAACUCACAUAUUUAAGGUCUAGCUUUACCUUAACAGAUUCUAUGGUGAUUUGAAGGGAAGAAGCCAGAGAGCCUGGGCUCCAAUACUCGACUCUACCCGUGGAUCCCACAGAAUGACCUUUUUGGUCAUCCAAAAACCAAAGUUUUUAUAAGUCAUGGUGGAACCAAUGGCAUCUAUGAGGCAAUCUACCAUGGAAUACCUGUGGUUGUCAUUCCCUUGUUUGCAGAUCAACCUGAUAAUGUUGUUCGCAUGAAGACCAAAAGAGCAGAUGUUAGAGUGGACUUCCUCACAAUGUCAAGUACAUAUCUUCUCAAUGCAGUAAAGACAGUCAUCAAUGAUCCCUCGUGAAUAGAAUGCUUUUCAGAUAAGUAGUACUAAACAUAUAUCCCCUCUUAAUGAUAACAGUAGAUUUCAUGCAAUUUUGAGUCUAACUUAAAAAAAAUUAUAAUGGUUUAAUCACUGUGAAAUUAGUUUUAUUCCUAAUCAGGACUGAAAAGUGUCCCCUAUAUACUUACUACACAAGUAGUUGUUAGAAGAAUAAUAUGAUGCCAAAAAGAAUUUUUCUAAAUUACUAAAGGAAAGAUUAGCAAUUUUUAAAAAUUCAACCAAAUCCAUAGACCAGAACAAUGAAGCUUAAAAAAUAUAAAAUACUCCAACUCAAUGUCUAAAAUUUCUGAAACUACUGUUCCUUGUCAAAAUAAUCCAUAUUUAUUGGCUAAAUAGAUGCAUGUGUAUAAUAAGUAAUGACCAAACCAGAAUAGAUACAUUUUCCAUUUCCUCCACCAUCCAUAGCUUCUUUUGUUAGCAAUCUUGAAAGCCCCCUGCUCUAGAACUUCAUUAUAUAAAUAGAUAGAUCAAUGUACAUGUUGUAAAGCAUACUCACUAUCUGUACUAUAGAAUGCUUUCUCUGCUAUCCAACUGCAGCAUGGUACCUGAUAGCCCACCUUUCAUGUCCCUACUUACUCCUCCCCUUCCCAGACUCUAGUUCCACUGUUCUACUGAUGACUCCUGUGAAGAAAACUCUAUUUCAUUCCACAUAUUAAUGUGAAUGUGCAAUGUUUUUCUUGAUGGGCCUAUUUUUUUUUGACUUAACAAAAUAUCUUCCAGUUCCAUCCUUGCAAUUGUAAAUGAUGGAAUAACAUCACUUACUGUUUUCAUAGCACAUAUUCUUUAUCCAUCAUCCUACAAUGGUCACUGUAGUCAGUUGCCAUUCUUAGCUAUCAUGGCAAGUCCUGCAAAAUAUAUAGAACUGCAAGUAUUCCUUUGAUAUAUUGUUUGCUACUUCAUUGAAGAAACUGCUAGGAAAGCAAAAACCUAGGAAAAUUCUGUUUUCAGUUUCUUCAGCAAACUCCUUGCUCUUUUUCUUACUCUCUGCCCUAAAUUAAACUCCAACCAAAGGCCAGUAAUAAUUCCAUGUCUGAGGGCCAGCAAGAUGGCUCAGCAGAUAAAGUCAUUUGCCACCAAACAUAAGUUUGAUCCCCAGGACCCAGUUAGUAGGAGAGAAUCAACUUUCACAAAUUGUCCUCUUACCUCCUCUGUGUGUCCUGUACAUGCACCACACAGAUGCAUACAAAAUAAAAUAAUGAACAAAUAAAUAGUUUUAAGAGCUAAGAAAAAAAAAUAAUUGCACUUCUCCUGUAUCCUUGGAAUCAUUUGAUUUGUUUUGGUUUGAAUUUAUUUGUUUGUUUGUUGGUUGGUUGGUUAAUUGGUUGGUUUGUCUGUUUUGCAGUACUCAGAAUCAAUCCAGAUCCUUGGACAUGCUAAGCAAACACCCAUUCACUGACCUACAUUCCCAGCCCAUACAUGUUCUUUGGGGGAGGGGGUGUUGUUUUCACAUCUUUUGCCCCUUUCUAAUCAAUGAAAGGAGUUUUAUUGACAUUUUAAAGAUUUUGCAUGGCAGAAUCCCUCUCCAAAUCUUCAAGUAGAUCAUUUUUAAAUUGAAUUUAGUUAUCCUGCUUUAAGUGCUAGGAAUGACUUAUUAAAACUUACUCUGCUGGAAAUUAUUUACUUUUCCAAGAGCUUUUUCUUUUGUUCUCUGGAAAGUAUUUCUUCAUCGGAAAAUGCCAACUUACUGCCAAACACAUUAUCAUGUCCUAACUAAAAUGACACUUUGCCUACUGCUCUUCUACAGCAUUUGUUCAGUUUCAUAGUGCUGUCCAAUAACCUUUCAUAGGAUGAACUUAAGUAAAUUAAUUGACUUCCAAUGUUGGUGUCUGUAUUUCUCCCUUAUGCCUGUCUUUAGCUACAAGGAGAAUGUUAUGAGACUAUCAAGAAUUUGCUGUGAGCAGCCAGUGCAGUCCCUCGACCGAGCUAUCUUCUGGGUGGUAUAUGUCAUGUGCCACAAAGAAGCCAAGCACCUUCUGGUGGCAGCCCACAACCUCAGAUGGUUCCAGUACCACUCCCUGGAUCUGAUUGGGUUCCUGUUGGCCUGUGUGGUGACUGUGACAGCCAUCAUCUCAAAAUGUUGCCUCUUUUGUUGCCAGAAGUUUGCUAAAGCUGGAAAGAAGAAGAAAAGGCAGUAGCUGUGUCUACACUUGAAUUUAGGUGGUCUCACAAUGGGCCGCUUCCAGUGCAUUCCAGUAAGAGGGGAUGAUGAUCAUGGGUUCCUUCCACAUGUGAACAGACAAUCCUUCACUAUUUAUUUGUCAAAUCACAGUAUGUUUUUCCAGAUAUGUUAUACAUAAGGGAAAAGAGUAAUUUAAAUUGAAAAAAAAUAAAAUUAAAAUAAAAUCAACAGUAUUAUCAUA